GCCAAACAGCUAGCCUAACGACUAAUAUAACCAAAAAAUAUUAAUAACAAAACACGACCUCACACCAAAAAUUAAACCAUUUUUUUGCCUGAGUAUGGGAGACAGAAAAG
rnacentral:rRNA from 1 species